AGCUCCCAGGGCUUGCUAGGAUCAGCUCGCCGGAAACCAGCUCCUAUAGUGCACAAUGCCCUUUUACAGAACACCCGGCAAGGGGGGUGGCAGCUAGGACUGUGCCCUGCUAGGUCUCUGCCUCUCAGACUGUUUACUUUGGGGCCAGCACUGCCUAGGAAGCCAUAAAUCCCACAUAGGAGCAAGGACAAGGCCUGUCUUACCUCCACCCCACACAGAUGCACAUGGCACUGAAGCACCUGUCCUCUGCUGUUGGAAAUUUCAGCCAAAACCAAAUCACAGGACAAGAGGAACGUCCGGGUAGCCUCUCUGCCUCUGUCCUCCUCCCACAAGGCUCACUGACAGCAGCGAGGAGGGACAAGUGCUUGCAAAGAAGCCAAGGACCACCCGGUGCACCGACCCCAUGCUUCCCGCCGUUCCCAGGGAUGGCCACACCACUCUCGUCCUGUAGUGUGAACCCUCACGUAAACUACACCGGGAGGCAGGGAAAAGCUGCCAGAAGCUUCACGGUAAAACAUGGAAAUUUGUGGUCCAUAUUUUUCUAACCAAAAUUAACUUUGCCCUUGUCCUGAACCCCAAGGCCUUUUAUCUUUUCCUCCCAUGAGGCACGAGCACACGCUGCCUCCCAUGAUAGGCGUUAAUGUGUCUCUCAGCGGGGAGACUCGACAGGCUCUCGGGGAGGGCACCUGGGCCGCCUGCCACUCUCCUGCCACUCUCCGUGUCUGGAAGAGCGUCCCCCACAGGGUAGGUGUCCACAAUGUGAGCUGGCACGAACGUGUCAAUCCUGUUCCUCUCUCUGCCCUCCUGACCAUCACACCUACCACUACCCCAUUCUCCAAGAGAAAAAAGCUCUAGGUUCUUCCUGUCCUUUCCUCCAGAUCAAGUCUUUUUAUUGCUGAGUGAUGGGGUUUUCCCUGACUUGUGGGGUGAUUACCAAGUGCCUUGUGUGUGCCAGGCCCUGGCCACGCCGUCAUAUUAAGACCUAGUCCCUGCGCUCAGGGGCUCGAGUUCCAUACAAGCAGCCUCAGGCCAAGGUCCACCCACAGACUAGCCGUCAGCCUUGCCAACCCCACCUCUUGCAGAGAAAAGCCAGCAGUCGGAGGAAAGUACCCUGUUCAUAUGACUGUGGUCCUCACGCUUGGCAAUGCUGAAAAGCCAUCUGGGAGAGAGCAUUCAGAACACACAUUUCUGGGGCCCAGGAAUCUGCAUUUUGAACAGGCAUGCUGGACUCAGAUACAGGUGGAUACAGACCACCUCUUGAGAAAUGGCGAUCUAACACAUGGGGCUGUUCAGUAUUUUAAACUAUUAUUAAGCUGAUGUUAAUCACGUAUGAGCUUAUUCAAAAGGGUUAACAUCUACUGCUAUCUUUUUACCUUCCACCGCCCCCCUAUAUUUUAUUAUGGAAAUUUUGAAGCCUACUAGAACGUGGAAAUAAAUAUUCUGAACACCAUACACAUAUCACCAGGAUUCUGUAAUUAGUGUUUUGCUAUAUUUGCUUUGUCACGUAUCCCCCCAUCUCUCUGUUGUUAAGUUUUUGGAUGUGUAAACAUCGUAAUCGGGUCUUUCCCAAUCUAAGGUUUUAUCACAUGCAGGUCAGUCUCCAUUCACAGACACAUCUCUGCAUGGUACUGCGUACUUCUAAUUACUUAGAAAUUAUUCAAGAAUCUUGGGGUGAAUCCCUUGGAGGUGUGCAUCACUACACCCUGGAAAAUCUGGUUUUACGUACAAAGCUGGGCAUCACUGUUUUCUGAAACACAAACAUGGGCCCAAAAACCACACCCGUGCAUCAAGGUAGUGCUUCUCCUUGACACGAAGCACCAGAAGGACUGAGCGGCCCAGGCCCGGGACCCUAAGUCUGGGGACAGGCAGCCCACCUCAAUCCCUGCAGGCCCCAAGUACUACUGGCUUGCAUCCCAAAGCAACCUGUCCUGAGGUCUCUAAGCAGCAUUCUAGGUUAACUUCCAACAUACCCCAGUGUGCCCUGGGAGGCAGCAGGCCAGGGGAAGCCUGCACAGGGGUCGGAGAAGGCAGGGGCUCUACUGCGGCCCAGCAGCAACAAGCUCUAUAAACGCUGAUCAAAGAAAACCCCA